UACGUAGGGGGCAAGCGUUGUCCGGAAUCAUUGGGCGUAAAGAGCGUGUAGGCGGCCAGAUAAGUCCGCUGUGAAAUCUCGAGGCUCAACUUCGAGCUGUCGGUGGAAACUGUCUGGCUAGAGUCCGGAAGAGGAGAAUGGAAUUCCUGGUGUAGCGGUGAAAUGCGCAGAUAUCAGGAAGAACACCAAUGGCGAAGGCAGCUCUCUGGGACGGUACUGACGCUGGGACGCGAAAGCGUGGGGAGCGAACAGG
rnacentral:rRNA from 1 species